AAACUUAAAGGAAUUGACGGGGAGCACCACAACGGGUGGAGCUUGCGGUUUAAUUGGAUUCAACGCCGGAAAUCUUACCGGGACCGACAGCAAUAUGAAGGCCAGGCUGAAGACUUUGCCGGAUUAGCUGAGAGGUGGUGCAUGGCCGUCGUCAGUUCGUACUGUGAAGCAUCCUGUUAAGUCAGGCGACGAGCGAGACCCACGCCCACAGUUGCCAGCGUACUCUCUGGAGUGACGGGUACACUGUGGGACCGCCGCUGCUAAAGCGGAGGAAGGAAUGGGCAACGGUAGGUCAGUAUGCCCCGAAUAUCCCGGGCUACACGCGAGCUACAAUGGUUGGUACAAUGGGUAUCUACCCCGAAAGGGGACGGGAAUCUCCUAAAACCAAUCUUAGUUCGGAUUGAGGGCUGCAACUCGCCCUCAUGAAGCUGGAAUCCGUAGUAAUCGCGUUUCAACAGAACGCGGUGAAUACGUCCCUGCUCCUU
rnacentral:rRNA from 1 species